rnacentral:lncRNA from 1 species
UAGACUUUUAUAAAUAAAAACAAAAAAUAUCAACAGUACUAGACUGAAGUCCAUUAGCAAAAGCCUAUUAAACAAAAAUAAAAGAAAAAAUGGGCCUAGAUCACACAGAAAUGUCUCAUAACUUAAAACUUAACUAAAACAGAAAAAGGAAACCUAAUCUUAUCCUAUACCAGUGGAAAUCAACAGCUGGAUACCAUUAGUCAGUGUCCGUUCACUUCACCGAUCCAGCUUUAAUGAUAGCAGUUUUCAAAAUAUCUUUUAAUCUUCUGCUACCCAUUUCCAAAGGAGUACAUCUUACUUUUUCUUUCAAUCUAGUUGCCUUGGUCGAAGUUUCUCUAGCGUACAACAAACGUAAUCUGGAACUCCAACCAACAGGUAAUGACUUUCUCCCUUCUUUAUAGCCUUUUUCACAAGAACAUGGGCAUAUUAUUCUCUAUUUUAGGGAUAAAAUGAAACCCUAUCUCUUGAAAUUCUGCCUUUUUGCUUUGGAUGUCUCUGAUGAGUGCUCCAAUGGCCAAUUUGUCAAAAUCUGUACUUUGGCAUUUCUUUAUUACAGUUUUUGAGUCUCCCAUUAUUUCUAGAUUGUUGAAGCCCAUGUAAAUUCCUAAUCUCAUGGGUUGUAAUCUUGUAUGUGCAUUCGCCGUAAACGGAGUUGCUAUAUCGGAGUGAAUGACCGUCUUUGAUGCCAAGAUCUCGCUCCUCACAUCUCGUACUAUCAGACCCGAAGCAGAUUUGAAAGAUUGUUGGUCAAAGGCUACAUCAAAAAAGAUUGCAACCUUUGUUCUUCGAUUAACAUGUUUAGGGCCUCUGUCAACUUGAAAGGUGAGUUUAUUCUCUUUUAUACCAUCAAACUCAAAGAUGUAACUACAUAUUUGCUUUGAGAUGUCUCUUCCUGUCGUAUUUUUCCUUUAAUACAUUAACCGAUUUCUAUUGGAACAGAUUAACCAAAGCCCACAACAGAAAAGUUGACACUGUUCACUAGUCCCCCGACUAAAAACCCAGGUAAGCCAUUCCCACAUAUUGUGAAUGUCGUUAUUAUGGACCCAGAAAAGAUUUAAAUAACUCCAAACAUCACUGUUGUAGGACACUGUCAAAAUAUAUGAUUACUAUCUUCCUUAUAUUGGCGACACCGAGGGCAAUAAUCGUCCACAGCCACUUUCUUAUGCUUGAGGUUAAUAAGAGUAGGAAUAAAACUCCAUGAGAUUCUUCAUACUGUAAUUGUAACUUUUGAGGGAAUGUAUAAAUUCCGUAGCUUUCUGUAGAAUUUUUUGUUUCAGCCUGUAUAAUAUAAUUACUAGGACCCAAGUUAGUCUCCUGUAAUAGUUUAUAGGCACUUAUAACUAAGAAAUCACCAGACUAUUCUUCUCUCCACACUUGAAAAUCAUCAUAUGCUAUCUCUGCCCAAGGAAUCUGCAUGAUUUUCUUUGCAAUAUCCGUUUGAAAGGUAUUCAUAAUAACAUCUGUUUUCCAAGUCCUGUUAUUAGCCUUAAUCAAAUCCAAUACUAACUUGAUGUUUUCUUUGUUGUCUUGAUUCUGUAAUCUAUCUGCUUCAUCCCAUCUUUUAGUAGCUUAUUCAAACAAAAUGCAAUCAUCUACAAAUAGUAGAUGAGAAAUAUGUGGCUCACUUUUACUUGCUUUUACUCCACUAAGUAUUUUUCUUUCAUUGCAAUCGUCAUAAGACUAGAGAGGCAUUUCCCACAAAAUAAAAAUAGAAACAGACUCAAAGGAUCUCCUGUCUUAGUCCUCUAGUUGGAUGAAAAGUUUCUCCAAUGUGUCUAUUGAAAACCACCGAAUACGAUACUGUAGAUACGUAUUUCAUUAAAGAAUCAACCCAUCCUGAAUCAAAACCCAUUCUCAUUAUUUUUUCCACAAAAUUCCAUUUGACCCUGUCGCACCGCGAUAAACCAUUUUUUCCCUACCUUCUUGUGCUUUAAUGUGUGUAAAAUUUCAUAAUCCAGUAACACAUUAUCAAAAAUCAACCUCUGAUGCACAAAAGCACUUUGUGCUAAAUUAGUACAUUUAUCAACCACUACCCUAAUUUGAUUAGCAAUGACCUUAACUAUCAAUUUAUAAAGCACAAUACAUAAGCUAAUUGGUCUAAAUUGAGUAAUACUUGAAGGGUUUGAAAUUUUCGGUAUUAGCACAAUAUUUGUUUUAUUGGUCGAAUUUAUAUUCAUACCUCCAUUUAGUCGUUGAAGACAAAAGGCUAAAACAUAUUCUCCGAUGAUCGACCAACACUUCUGAUAAAAUAAGGAUGGAAAGUCAUCCUCUCCUGGUGCUUUUGUGGAACCUAAUUUUGAUAAUGCUU